UACGAAGGGGGCUAGCGUUGUUCGGAUUUACUGGGCGUAAAGCGCACGUAGGCGGACUAUUAAGUCAGGGGUGAAAUCCCGGGGCUCAACCCCGGAACUGCCUUUGAUACUGGUAGUCUUGAGUUCGAGAGAGGUGAGUGGAAUUCCGAGUGGUAGAGGUGAAAUUCGUAGAUAUACAAGCGGAACACCGGUGGCGAAAGGCGGCCUCUGGGACAGUUGACUGACGCUGAGACGCGAAAGCGUGGGGAGCAAACAGG
rnacentral:rRNA from 1 species